rnacentral:lncRNA from 1 species
CGCAGGCGCAGAGAGGCGCGCUGCGCCGGCUGUCUUGCUCGCAGUAUAGUGGCGGCAGGCCGCCUGCUUGCAGCUCGGGAAAUUGCAGGGCCCUGUUGCUCGCAGUGUAGGGGUAGCACGUCCGACUGCUGGCAGCUGGGGACACUGCCUGGCCCUCUUGCUCCAAAUGUAUUGGCGGGUGGCUCCCCUGCUGGCAGCUACGGACAGUGCUGGGUCGUCUUGCUUGCAGUGUAGUCGCGGCACGCCCCCUUCUGGCCGCUGGGGUCACUACAGGAUCCUCUUGCUCAUGAUGUGGUGCCCCUACGCCACCUCCUGGCAGCUAAGGACACUGCAGGGCCCUCUUGCUCCCGGUGUGACGGCUGGCGUCCCCUACUGGCCACCUCCCGAACAAACUCGGGGCGCCAGUUAUUAAGCCCCAUCAGUUCUGUAAAUUCAAACUGAAACGGAGCUAUUACUGGGGAGACCUGAUGUCCCAAUUCUUAACUUGGAGGAAAGAUUUUCACUUUCCUCCAAGAAACACUCUCUAAGAACACAGCACUCAGAAAAGCCAGCCUGAUACCUAGAUUACACGGUUCACAGCCUUACAGUAAGAAGAAACUAAGUCUUAGCGAUAACCAAGUGGCAGACGUGGCAGAAGAAAAAUUUGAAACCAGGGCCACAUUGAGCCUGCAGGCAUGUCUGGCCUGUUCUGAGGACAGACAUUUCAAGCACAGAGAGGCACAGGAGCACUGUUUGAGCCUGGAGCUUAAAUCGCGAAUCCAGAGAGCCCUCUCUGAGCAUGCGUUGUGCCCAGAGUUGGUUUCAUGUGGAUCAACUCAGGCUUCUAUGGCAGGGCCACAGACAGGGGCUAUUGUCUGGCUCGUCUUCAGCAGAUGGAGCACAGCUGGUCUCCUGCACACGUGGCUGCUGAUCUUGCCAGUGUGAGAGACAACUUUCAAUUAUCAUAAGCAUCUGCAUCUGCCCAAAUUCAACCUCAGUGAUCUGUCUCAGUAGUGUUUUAAACAGAAUUUAGGACUGAGCCCACUACUCCAAAGGCAGCUGUCCCACUGCCUCUGGGGUGUGACUCCCUCUCCCAUUUUUUAUGUAUCUGUGCACCGAGCCCUUCUCGCUUCUCACCCUCUGAGACGCCUGUUGUUGAAGGGAAGCUCUGAGCCUGGUGGGCUCUCUGCUGCCUCAGAGGAGCAAAAAGUCUGUGGUCUCCUGGUUCCAAAGUGUGGGGGGUGCUGGAGAGGCAGGUGCCGCUGAGAUGCUGAUCAGUACCCAGUGAGGAAACAUACGGCCUCCUGAGAGAUGCGGCUGAGCCCAGUGGUGCCUCUUGCCCACGACACCCUGUUUUCUGUCUCGUGCACCACUCAGUUUGGACUAUUAAACAUGACAGUGGAUAGGAGCUGGGGGACUUUUAAUCCAAGCACAUGCUUCUCUGUGUGGGUGCUUCCUCUCAAUCCUCCUGGUGUGGAAGUUCUCCCUGGUGUCUUGCCCCAGAACUUCCUGCUGCAGUGAGAGUCUGCAUGUCACAGUUGUGUCUCUUUAGGGAGCCAUCUGCCCUCACCUGUUGGAUUACUCAGAACCUUCACAUGCUCCUUCAUCCCAUUUGUGUCUCACAAACAGGGGUCUGGGCUGGCAGUCUAUUUUGUCACCUGUUCCCUCCUCACCAGGCUCCUGGUCUCUCCUGUCUCCAUUUGGCUGCCCUGGUCUAGACUCAGUGUGCUAAUCACCAUUUGUCUAAUUAGUACUGUGGGACCAUCACAGGAUAAAUGGCACAGCACUCACCAUUGCAGACUUGUGCCCAGGCCCCCAGACACCUGAGUUGGGUGUCCUUUACUGCCUUACAUAGAAGCCUGGGCUCCGAGGUUCAGGGACCUCCCAAGGACCUAGGUGUCACUACAUGUGCUGCUGCUGACUGAAAGUGCUGACGGAGUUCAUAAGCUAGUCAGGGGCCGCAGCUUUAAGGCUGGGUUCUGGUCACAGGCUGCCUUCCAGGUACCCAGGAGGAAGCUGGGGGCUUGUGUGUGCUGAGGAAGGGACCUGAGGCAGAGGAGAGGGGUUGCCUUGACAGUGCUGUGGCACACAUGGCGGAGUCCGAGGCAGAUCUUAUGGAUGUUGCAUUUAUUGCAAAAUUCUACAAUAAAGACUUUUAAAAAGUUC